CUUGAUUACACAAUUCGUAAUUCACACUUGGUCUUGAAUGCCAAAAGAUUACUCUUGAUAAGUUCGAAUUUUGCUCUAAGAAGAACAAUGGUUUGAAAGCAAGAAUUUGCUUCUCUAACUAAUUCUCUCAAUAAUGUCCAAGUUAUUACAAUGAAAGUAAUGAAGUUUAUUUAUAUAAAACUAAUAAAACCCUAAGGAAAAAGGGAACUAAAGUCCUAUGGAAUUUAAAAGUUACCAAAAAUAAGAAUCCUAGCUAAAAUAAAAGAUUUUGCGUAAAAGGAAAAUUUGGGUCUUGAAUUCUACCAUGAGACUGCAUGAGAUUCUUCAUUGCGGUCACACAAGUCACUUGCAUCACUCCUUUUUUGUCUCGGUCAGCCACCAUUCGAUCGCAUGGGUUACUAUACUGUGUGGUCGUACAGUGUUAUGUCUGAGCUCCAUCUUCGGCUUCUUGUAUUGUGUUGAUCCAAAUGGUUUCAACCAUCAUCCCAAUAUGACACUUUUUUUUUUUUUGCACCACGAUCGAUGUUCCUUCAAUGAUCGAUUGCACAAUUAGUGACAUUGCUUGAUUGACCCGCUUUCCUCUUGAAUGCAUCAUCGAUCCUUCUUGGAUAACCAACAUGUCUCUUUCUGGGCUUGUCUUCGUUGGGCUCAUCUCUUGAAUCACAUCAUUCCCUCCCUCUUCAAAG
rnacentral:lncRNA from 1 species